rnacentral:rRNA from 1 species
GACUGCCCGCGUGCUGGAAAACACCCGUUCGGCCCACGGGUCGGCGGGUGGGGGACCAGCGGGACGCCCUCCCCACCCCUCUUUCCCCCGGGAAGGAGGCCGGGAGUGUGCGGCCGGCMACCCCCUGUCCAACCCACACAACCCAAACAACACAACCAAACUGAAGCGAAAGCGGGUCUGGCCCGAAAGGGCGCCGCGACCACAAACAAAAGACAACUCUCAACAACGGAUAUCUUGGCUCCCGCAUCGAUGAAGAACGCAGCGAAAUGCGAUACGUAGUGUGAAUUGCAGAAUUCCGUGAAUCAUCGAAUCUUUGAACGCAUAUUGCGCUCGAGACUUCGGUCGAGAGCAUGCCUGUCUCAGCGUCGGCUCACCCCUCGCCCACCCUUUCCCCUUCACCGGAGGAGAGGUGCCUGGACGGACGUGGCCGUCUCGCUUUCCUUUACCGGGAGAGAGCGGGUCGGCUGAAGUGCAGGGCCCGCGGCGCGACCCGGACGAGAGGGCGCCAGCAUGGUAGGUGGCUCAACGCUGCAUGCCGCUGUCGCCUUUCAUCUCGGCCCGAAUCAAGGUCGCAUCCAAUCGUCCGCUCGGCCACCAAGCAGGAACGGUCGCCCUCUUUCGCAGCAAUGCGGCGGGCGACUUCAA